AGCAGCCGCCACGGUAAUACGAAGGGUGCAAGCGUUAAUCGGAAUUACUGGGCGUAAAGCGUGCGUAGGCGGUGAGUUAAGUCUGCUGUGAAAUCCCCGGGCUCAACCUGGGAAUGGCAGUGGAUCCUGGCUCGCUAGAGUGUGUCAGAGGAUGGUGGAAUUCCCGGUGUAGCGGUGAAAUGCGUAGAGAUCGGGAGGAACAUCAGUGGCGAAGGCGGCCAUCUGGGACAACACUGACGCUGAGGCACGAAAGCGUGGGGAGCAAACAGGAUUAGAUACCCCCGUAGUCCCUGUCUCUUAUAC
rnacentral:rRNA from 1 species